CAGGAGCUCCCCCUUCACCGCCGUCUCUCCCGGCGUUUAACUCCACCAAAUUCACCGCCUCCUCCGCCCAAACCGUGGGCCGGGUCACACAGAAAUUUCUCGAAGACGGGAACAGCGCCGUGCACGCCAGCGGCGCCUGGCGAGGCCAGGCAGUAACGCGGCCGGCCGCAGAGAGACGGCAGAGCGCCGCCAGCAGCAGUCCGCCGGCAGGUGCUGACACUAAUGAUCAAAAGUAGACUGCUGCAAUAGGUACGCCUGGACCCGGAGUUGGUUUAGCUAUGCGUUGACACUGCGAAGAAGAAAUUGAAAGAACCAGGAGUGGAUCUUUGCCACUUUUGCUCGUAGAAGGGAAACUGCUUAUUGAUAUAAAUACUCAGCACUGAUUUCCUUACAUCAGUGCUGACAGCCCUAUUUGCAGAUAGCAGUAUCACAAUACCAUUUGGUGACAAGUCAUCUGAACAGACAGCCAAAAUUGUUACUUUUCAACCAUUCAAAAAUGUUCGAGUCAAAGAAAACAAAGCACAGAA